rnacentral:lncRNA from 1 species
AGACCUUCUCCUGCUUUCCUCUCUUGCACUAUCACAUGAGAUCUUUCACUAUGGCUGGACCCCUGUCAAAAAAGCCACAGUGAUGGCUCAGACAACAGAGAAUGGGUUUUGUGCUGAGAAUUCUUCUAGAACUCUGGAGCAUGUAAGAUAUGCUUGUGCAUUUCAAAAUCCUACUUCAAUGUGCUUCUCAUACAUCCUAAUUGCCUCCAUAAGGAAGAAAAUAAUGACUCUUUCCACAAACCUGGCUGAUCAAUAAGAGAGCUCUGCUUCAACUGAAUCAGCAAAAAGAAGAAGAUAAAAGGAAGAAAAAUAAUAUUAAACCAAACCUCAGCAACAAUAGUGAAAAGACCUUUGUUGGUUUAGUAGUUUGUUUAUUUUAGUUUCUGGUUUAAUGUGCACAGAUAAUUUUCUGGUUCAUAUUAAGAAGUAGGAAACAAGUUUUAUUGUCAACAAACAAUCACCUCCAACAAGGAUAUGACAACAUCUUGAAACUGAACUCACUCUUGGUCUAAAACAAGUUUAGCAGAAGGAAGCAAUUUUCUUGCAUUUUUAUCAUUAUAGGUUUUUUUUUUGCAGUACAUUGACAACAAAGUGACCAUUUAGACUUAUUCUACCAGUCUGGAAUUUAGACAAUGUUUAAAUGGUUACUUUUGCUUACACAAGCCCUUGAAAUAUUUUCUGUGGUGUUUACGGCCUGAUUAUCAAAAGAACCAAGCAGAUUUUGAAAAUCUGGCCGCCACAUUUUACUGGGAGGCAGAAAGACAUUGAUUGUGUGACUGGAAACUUUUGUGUUUUUUCUAUUUUAAUUGAUACCAAACAUUCAUCAUCACUAGGCACUGUACCUCAGACCUUUGGCAUUGAACUGCUAACCUCUACCUUUUGAAAUAAGGAGUUAAUCUGUUGGCUUUAUGUCAACAGUCUUAAGAAAGGAAAGAGUUUGUAUGGAUUGUUCACUUAUAUGAUAUUUAUAUCUACUGAAUCUCUUCCAAUUCUGACACAUCUCAUUUGAACAAUCAAAACUGAGACCAGUGUGCAUAGAUAAAUGAGUCACAGCCAACACCCAUCUGUGAAAAUACCCCUGGAUACCAAAAUCCCAUGGAGUCCUCAGGUAGGACUGCCUAUACCUAUUGGUAGCUACACACUGCUCUCAGUGAGCAUGGAGCAUUCUUCAGCCAUUCCACUUCAGGUUUCUGCAUGCCUGUGAAGGUAUGAGCACCCCCAGAGCCCUACAUGUUUUCUUUUUUUAACACAAUGUA